AUUGAACGCUGGCGGCAGGCCUAACACAUGCAAGUCGAACGAGUGGCGGACGGGUGAGUAAUGUCUGGGAAACUGCCCGAUGGAGGGGGAUAACUACUGGAAACGGUAGCUAAUACCGCAUACCAUCGGAUGUGCCCAGAUGGGAUUGACUAGUAGGUGGGGUAACGGCUCACCUAGGCGACGAUCCCUGUCUGGUCUGAGCGGGUGACCGACCAAACUGGAACUGGGACACGGUCCAGACUCCUACGGUAGGCAGCAGUGGGGAAUAUUGGAAAGUGGGCGCAAGCCUGAUGCCGCCAUGCCGCGUGUAUUAAGAAGGCCUUCGGGUUGUAAAGUACUUUCAGCGAGGAGGCGUUACUCGCAGAAGAAGCACCGGCUAACUCCGUGCCAGCAGCCGCGGUAAUAC
rnacentral:rRNA from 1 species